rnacentral:rRNA from 1 species
UACGAAGGUGACAAGCGUUAUUCGAAAUCACUGGGCUUAAAGGGUGCGCAGGCGGAAAUGUAAGGGUCUUGUGAAAUACCUUGGCUUAAACAGGGCAUUGCUCGGCAUACUGCAUUUCUUGAGGCAAGUAGAGGUGUGUGGAACUCUUGGUGGAGCGGUGGAAUGCGUAGAUAUCAAGAGGAACGCUGAAGGUGAAGACAGCACACUGGACUUGUGCUGACGCUCAUGCACGAAAGCGUCGGGAGCAAACAGG